GACCGAUAGCGAACAAGUACCGUGAGGGAAAGGUGAAAAGCACCCCGACAAGGGGAGUGAAAUAGAACCUGAAACCGGAUGCCUACAAACAGUCGGAGCCCGCAAGGGUGACGGCGUACCUUUUGUAUAAUGGGUCAACGACUUAGUGUAACAAGCAAGCUUAAGCCGGUAGGUGUAGGCGAAGCGAAAGCGAGUCUGAAUAGGGCGAUUUAGUUUGUUGCAUUAGACCCGAAACCGAGUGAUCUAGCCAUGAGCAGGUUGAAGGUUGGGUAACACCAACUGGAGGACCGAACCCGCAUCUGUUGCAAUAGAUUGGGAUGACUUGUGGCUAGGGGUGAAAGGCCAAUCAAACUCGGAAAUAGCUGGUUCUCCGCGAAAUCUAUUUAGGUAGAGCGUCGAGCGAAUACCCCGGGGGGUAGAGCACUGGAUGGGCUAUGGGGACUCACCGUCUUACUGAUCCUAACCAAACUCCGAAUACCCGGGAGUACUACUCGGCAGACACACGGCGGGUGCUAACGUCCGUCGUGAAAAGGGCAACAACCCUAACCUCCAGCUAAGGUCCCCAAGUCAUGGCUAAGUGGGAAAGGAUGUGAGGAUCCCAAAACAACCAGGAUGUUGGCUUAGAAGCAGCCAUCAUUUAAAGAAAGCGUAACAGCUCACUGGUCUAAAUAAGGGUCUUUGCGCCGAAAAUGUAACGGGGCUGAAGCCAUGCACCGAAGCUGAGGAUUUGCAGCAAUGCAAGUGGUAGCGGAGCGUUCCGUAAGCCUGUGAAGGGACAGUCGUGAGACAUCCUGGAGGUAUCGGAAGUGCGAAUGUUGACAUGAGUAACGAUAAAGAGGGUGAGAGACCCUCUCGCCGAAAGACCAAGGGUUCCUGCUUAAAGUUAAUCUGAGCAGGGUUAGCCGGCCCCUAAGACGAGGCGGACACGCGUAGUCGAUGGGAACCACGUUAAUAUUCGUGGGCCUGGUGGUAGUGACGGAUUGCGUAACUUGUUCAUUCUUAUUGGAUUGAGUGGGCAGGGAAGCGGUUCCAGGAAAUAGCUCCACCGUAUAGACCGUACCCGAAACCGACACAGGUGGUCAGGUAGAGUAUACCAAGGCGCUUGAGAGAACUAUGUUGAAGGAACUCGGCAAAUUGCACGCGUAACUUCGGAAGAAGCGUGACCCCAUUUUACGCAAGUGAGAUGGGGUGGCACAGACCAGGGGGUAGCGACUGUUUAUCAAAAACACAGGGCUCUGCGAAGUCGCAAGACGACGUAUAGGGUCUGACGCCUGCCCGGUGCUGGAAGAUUAAAUGAUGGGGUGCAAGCUCUUGAUUGAAGUCCCAGUAAACGGCGGCCGUAACUAUAACGGUCCUAAGGUAGCGAAAUUCCUUGUCGGGUAAGUUCCGACCUGCACGAAUGGCGUAACGACUUCCCCGCUGUCUCCAACAUAGACUCAGUGAAAUUGAAUUCCCCGUGAAGAUGCGGGGUUCCUGCGGUCAGACGGAAAGACCCCGUGCACCUUUACUAUAGCUUUACACUGGCAUUCGUGUCGGCAUGUGUAGGAUAGGUGGUAGGCUUUGAAGCGGGGACGCCAGUUUCCGUGGAGCCAUCCUUGAAAUACCACCCUUAUCGUCAUGGAUGUCUAACCGCGGUCCGUUAUCCGGAUCCGGGACAGUGUAUGGUGGGUAGUUUGACUGGGGCGGUCGCCUCCGAAAGAGUAACGGAGGCGCGCGAUGGUGGGCUCAGACCGGUCGGAAAUCGGUCGUCGAGUGCAAUGGCAUAAGCCCGCCUGACUGCGAGACUGACAAGUCGAGCAGAGACGAAAGUCGGUCAUAGUGAUCCGGUGGUCCCGCGUGGAAGGGCCAUCGCUCAACGGAUAAAAGGUACUCUGGGGAUAACAGGCUGAUACCGCCCAAGAGUUCAUAUCGACGGCGGUGUUUGGCACCUCGAUGUCGGCUCAUCGCAUCCUGGGGCUGGAGCAGGUCCCAAGGGUUUGGCUGUUCGCCAAUUAAAGCGGUACGUGAGCUGGGUUCAGAACGUCGUGAGACAGUUCGGUCCCUAUCUGCCGUGGGUGUAGGAAUAUUGACAGGAUCUGUCCCUAGUACGAGAGGACCGGGAUGGACAUAUCUCUGGUGGACCUGUUGUCCUGCCAAGGGCAUAGCAGGGUAGCUAUAUAUGGACGGGAUAACCGCUGAAGGCAUCUAAGCGGGAAACCCACCUGAAAACGAGUGU
rnacentral:rRNA from 1 species